GAGCUAAGAUCUUGUAGCUAGUUCAAUGUUGUUGUGGUAUUUUAUAAGUACAACAAUGAAUACAUUUUCAUUCAUUUGUUAAUUUAAAUAAUUAGAAUUCCGCCAGUAAAUCUUAGUGGAUUGAACUUGAUAUACUCAAUUAUCAGUGUUUGAUUAUGAUCUAAAUAAGUGUCUUUUAUUUUCUUCAGAUUUCAUUUGUUACAUAUUCUAUCUCUUUUGCAGAUAUCGCCUAUGGCCUUGCCCAUACUCUCUGGCGUAUUGAACAUAUCUCGUUCCUUCCCAUCGGUUUCGUUCGUUACAAACUCAAUCUCUAUUCGGAAUCAGGGAACCACUACCUUGAUGUGGUGGUGCGCUUUCUCUUGGACAUCGUGCUUCAGUGCAUGGUUGUGAAAUUCAUCUUGGGGGCCCCAUGCGUGAUGACGUUGCUAAUACGCAAAUGGAAGAGAAUACACUUAGCAAUGGAUCAAAAUGUUGAAGAAUUUUUGCAAUCCAACAAUAA